rnacentral:rRNA from 1 species
UACAGAGGCCUCGAGCGUUAGGCGGAAUCACUGGGCUUAAAGCGUGUGUAGGUGGAUGCCUAAGUGCCUUGUGAAAUCCCACGGCUUAACCGUGGAAUUGCUGGGCAUACUGGGUGUCUUGAGCCACUCAGGGGCUACCGGAACAAAUGGUAGAGCGGUGAAAUGCGUAGAUAUCAUUUGGAACGCCAAUGGGUGAAAACAGGUAGCUGGGGGUGUGCUGACACUGAGACACGAAAGCCAGGGGAGCAAACGGG